GGGCCCGCACAAGCGGCGGAGCAUGCGGAUUAAUUCGAUGCAACGCGAAGAACCUUACCUGGGUUUGACAUACAUCAGAAGCGUUCAGAGAUGGGCGUGCCUUCGGGUUGGUGUACAGGUGGUGCAUGGCUGUCGUCAGCUCGUGUCGUGAGAUGUUGGGUUAAGUCCCGCAACGAGCGCAACCCUCGUCCUAUGUUGCCAGCGGUUCGGCCGGGAACUCAUGGGAGACUGCCGGGGUCAACUCGGAGGAAGGUGGGGAUGACGUCAAGUCAUCAUGCCCCUUAUGUCCAGGGCUUCACGCAUGCUACAAUGGCUGGUACAAAGGGUUGCGAUAUCGUGAGGUGGAGCGAAUCCCAUAAAGCCAGUCUCAGUUCGGAUUGGGGUCUGCAACUCGACCCCAUGAAGUCGGAGUCGCUAGUAAUCGCAGAUCAGCAUUGCUGCGGUGAAUACGUUCCCGGGCCUU
rnacentral:rRNA from 1 species